UCCCUUCCCAGGCCUGGAGCGCGAGGCCCCGCCCAGGACCGCCGCGCGUCUGGAGGCGGGGCUCGGCCGCCUCUGGGUCCCGCUUGAAAUUCUGUAGAAGCCAGAAGGCUCGCGGAGCGCGCACUCCGAGUGAGUUUGAGGAUGUGUGCGGCUGGUGGCUAAGCUGGGACCCCCGCGGAGAAGGUGGGGGGGCCCCGACACCCGCCUGGUUGGACCGUUCGCUAUGAGAAGAUGCUUCCCCUGACGGGAAUGGAGUACCAAUCUCUGGCACUAUUGGAAAAACUGAUAGAAGGCUGUGGAUUACAGACAGAGCUAGGCAGCGCUGCUUGUACCUCUGUUGUCAGUAUCUGAGAACGCAGGCAUUCUGAAGAGUAAAGCUUCAGAUCCAUCGAUUUAGAAAUUGUGGCGCAAAUGUUCUAAAAGAAGAAAAGCAGUGGGCCCAGCUCCAAAAAACACUUAUUAAGGGCAUCCCACAGCAUAUGGAGUUCUCAGACCAGGGAUCCGAUCAGAACCACAGUUGUGACCUACACCACAGCUGUGGCGAUGCUGGAUUCUUACCCCACUGUGCCAGGCUGGAGAUCAAACCUCCACCCCAGUGUGGAAGGGACGCCGCUGAUCCCGCUGCGCUACAGCAGGAGCUCCACUGUUCUCUAUUUUAAUGAUAAUAAUUGUUAGCAUUUAUUGAAUUAAGUGCCAGAUACUGUUUCAAAGUAUUUUCCAUUCAUUAAUUUAUUUAAUCAUCACAACAUCCUGAUGAGGCUGAGAUUGUUAUUUCCAGUUUUACAGAUGAGGAAACUGAGGCACUGAGGACUUCAGGAACUUGCCCACCUUUUCACAGCCAGGAAGAGGCAGAUUGCAGAUUUGGAGCCCAGAGAGUGCUGUUCUUAGUGUACACUGCCUCCUUGAUGCUGCUGGUCUCCCCCAGUGCCACCUCCAGCUUCGGGCUCCAGAACCUUCACGGUCAGGCUCUGGGUUCUGACCUUUUCCUGUCUUCAGCAACUAAAGAAUAAGAAGCAGGCAGAGACACAGAUGCUCCACGGCAGCCCUCCAUGGACACCCAGCAAGCGGCGAGGUCUGGCACCCAGCACUCUGGGCAAAGUGCGCAAGGUUUUAAGCUCCCAGGAUUCCAUUAUCACUGAGAUGCUAAGAGUGAACAGAUGUAAAGUGUCAAAAGCUAAAUGAGAAAAAGAAGAAAACAGUCAUUCGGAGCCCCAGCAAGUAUCAUGGGACGCCCUGGGAUGUGCCCAGGAAACUAGAGUCACCGGAGGCUCACUUCAAAAGCUGGUCUUCAGUUGCGGCUGAGCAAAGUCCUGGCCUGCGGGUUCCAGCCCGUUGACACUGGAUCACGAAACACAAAUAGGUGUCAUUACUUCCACCAGUUUGAGGAGAAAAACACCCGCUGGUGUUAAGCCUGGAACCAAUGAGAAGAACCUGGAGCUCACUGGCAGCAUCCUCAGUGGUGGGUACCCUGACUCACCCCAGCCCUCGGCUCAUCUCCAGCAUUAAUUCUGUUGCCAGCACCUAUUCUGAGUUUGUGGCAAUUCACCUUUUCUAAUAUCCACCAGUCCCUGGGGAGCACACAGUUGGAGCAGAGUAGGUAUCUUUUCAAGGACACCCAAGCUAUUAGUUAGGACAGUACUUUGGAGGCUGAGACUCACUUUCCUGCCUUGACCAUGAUAUGAGGGGUGGUGGUUUAAGGGAGGUAUCUAGGAAGGAAGAUGGCAGCAGCAACCAGGCAUUUCACCUGGAUCCUUCUGCUUAAGAAAUAACUUUCACUGGCUGCAGGAGAUGACCCUGCUAAUUGCUGCCCUGGUGCUCUCUUGGUGGAGUUCUUGGUAAUUGUCUUAAUUCUUUAUUCUUAGAAGGAUCCGUCCCUCUCUGACAGCUCCACUGUUGGGCUUCAGGUCUGUAUGGCAACCCCUGCAUGUCCCCUUUUCAAACUGAUCUGUCAUCUGCCAGCUUCAUUACCAUCUGGGCAUAGGGCUACACUAACCAGUCUCAGCUGUACAAGCUCAUAAAAACCUUUUUUUUACAAAGGAAGUAGAAAUUCCUAACAUAGAUUUCAAAAAUAAUAACUGUCUGGUUUAAAUUCCCAACAGACUGCCUAACCUGCUGAUUAACUUGUUCAGACUUGGAUUCUCAGCCCAUGUAAAGUCAGGCUGGGUCGGAGUUCCCGUUGUGGCUCAGUGGUUAACGGAUCCAACUAGGAGCCACGAGGUUGUGGGUUAAGGAUCCGGUGUUGCCACGAGUUGUGGUAUAGGUCGCAGACGUGGCUCGGAUCCCGAGUUGGCUGUGGCUGUGGCAUAGGUCAGUGGCUACAGCUCCAAUUAGACCCCUAGCCUGGAACCUCCACAUGCCACAAGUGCCGCCCUAAAAAAGACAAAAAAAAAAAAAAGAAAGGCCAAGUUGUUUUUUUAAUUUAAUCACGUUAUUUUACAUCAGAAAACUUCACCCUCCCCAGUUGUGACAUUGAAGGUCCCCAGUGCACUGGAGAUGAUAGAGGCCCCACCACAUGGGGCGGGGAGCCCCAGCUGUGUGCUGCCUAUGAGGUUCUUGGCCUGUGUGCUGAUUAUUUCCUGGAGUCUAUGUCUUACUAACCCCUCAGAGCUGAAUUGCCCACUUUGCUUCUGCUCUGAGCUACCCAAAGCUCAUUUCUUUGCCUUUGCCUGUUUCUGCCGCCUAAAGCUGCUAAAGCACGGAUGGAGCACUGGAAGGAAGCGAUUUCUCCCAUGACGCUCUCCGACUCCUAGUAACCUGCUCCUUUGCCAGCUCUGAACUGCCGUGCCCUUUCCUUCACGGUGGAUGUCCUCGCCUCCCUCUUUAUGUUCCUGGUGAGAGGCGAGGCUGCCCCUCACCCUGGGAGGGGAGUAUCGAGUUAAAGCUGAACGUUUGGUCAGUUUCUAUGUGCUUGAAAGCCUGGACAUGCUCCAUUACCCCGGGCCUCACUUACAGGAGUGAAUGAGUGACAGAUGGAAAUCUGUCACAGGCCCAGUGGGUCCUUAGACACUUGGUUUUAUUUUGACUCAAGAAAUGCCGUAAAACUUAGUUCAUAGCAGGAGGUGUAAAUUUGAGCGCACGAACCUAACUCCGUUCCCUGCCCGUAGCUGUGCUUGUGGAAGCCCUGCCAGGGGCUUGUCACUGGCUGCACCCUUGCGCAGCAGGAUGAUCGUGCUCGUCCUCCGGCUGCGGGGCGUGAAGCAGUUUUGGUUUGUGCACUUGGGGUUAGCAAGCGAUAUCUUUUUUGUUUACGGACGUCGAAAUAAUGCAGUAGCUUCCAAGGCUUUGCUCUCACCUAAAGCCUGUCCCCAGCACUCAGGGGACAGCCUUCCUCCUGAUGGAGAUGUCUGGGUGUCAGAAGGUGCAAUGACCUGACUCACUGCCCAACAGGUGACAGGGAGGCUGGGAGCACCUUUUUUUUGCCUUUUCUAUGGCCACGCCCAGGGCAUAUGGAGGUUCCCAGGCUAGGGGUCGAAUCGGAGCAGAAGCCGCCAGCCUAU